CAGUUCGGAUUGUAGUCUGCAACCCGACUACAUGAAGCCGGAAUCGCUAGUAAUCGCGAAUCAGAAUGUCGCGGUGAAUACGUUCCCGGGUCUUGUACACACCGCCCGUCAAGCCAUGGAAGCCGGGAGUGCCUGAAGUAUGCAACCGCAAGGAGCGUCCUAAGGUAAAACCGGUGACUGGGGCUAAGUCGUAACAAGGUAUC
rnacentral:rRNA from 1 species